UGGGAAUAUGUCAUUGGACCAGAAAAUGUUCUGUCCUCAUGGAGCUUGCUGGCUGAGGGCUGGGAGCAUCAAGCUUUCAGGUCCCUGUUUCAUAAAGUGUCCCUGGGAUCGGCGUCAUCUGUAUGGCCUGGGAGCUGGAGAGAAAUACAGCAGCAUCUCAGCCACCUUGACCUGCUGGAUCACAGUCUGCAUUGCUCCUGGAUUGUCCCUCAUGUUGAUGCAUCGGUCUGGUCCCCAGUCUUUGACUACACAGCACUGUGAUGAGCAUUCCCGUGGAUAAAUCACCGCACCUGUCUGCAUAUUUCCUGAGGACAGAAUGUGCUAAAUGUGAAAUCGCUGAGAAAAAAAUCACAUGACUGUGUUUAAGGCUUUUGAUAAAUUUUGCUAAAUGGUCUUCCAGAAAAAUUAAACCCAUGCAAAAUGCUACCAGCCGCCCACGAGAUAUCUUUUCUCUACAAUCUCAUUAAUGUCCCAUGUGACUGUUUCUUUUUUUUAAUCAUGUCAAUAUUUUGUUUGUUCAUUUGGAUUUCUUGGAUGACUACUGAAAUGGGGACCAUCCCUCCCUCAAAUAUCUUAGGGCUUUAAGUUUUUAAAAAUUAAAAAUCCCUCAACGAC